UACCCUCUACCGGAACUUCCAUCAACGAUGGUUUGCAGGCGGCCGCGGCGACCAUCCAUACGUUCAACGUCACCGACAGCGAGGACGUUGUCACGUGCUCCACACGAGCGCCGGAAUCCACCUUUUUUGAAUUGGUAGCCGCAACUAGCCCUGCGUUCAGUAUCCGCGUGAAAGCAGGAGUGACGUUGGCUGCAGCUGUCAGUCCGUACGUCAUGAACGUUGAUUGCACAGAUGCCGUAACCGCCGUCAGUUCAACGUUUACCCAGCCAGUCCUUGAUAAACCGCCGACAUUUGUAUCUGGGAUUCCUGGGAAUUCCCCUGACGUCUCAGACGACAACGUGAUUGCGACGUCACUGGGAAAGUUCACAACUACGGACCCUGAUACCACGUGUUCUGUGACGUUACCUGUGACAACCGUUUAUGAGAUCAGAAAAG